GAUGAAGACAAGCCGGGUUUCUGUCAUCAUGGAGUUUACUGCAACUAGAAGAGAGGAAAUACCAGAAAUGCCUCGAGAUUAUGGUCUGGAGAACUUGCUUGAAUUUAAAGGUUAAGACAACAAUGGACUCAGCCAUAUGUGUCAGAAUCUAGUCCAGAGAAGAACCGUUAACUGAAACCCAGUCUCUGCCAAUGUGUCCACCAGACCAGCGGACUAGCCAGAACAGAGGUGCAAGAACCAAUUCCCACUGUACAUGGCACAUGUCAAGUCUGCUUGCAUCAUGUCUGUCAUCGUUCCAUUGGCCAAAACAAGUCAUGUGGCCCAAAGUCAAGGGUGCAUGGAAGUGGAGGGAGGAA